UCCGUGCUCGGCUUGGACCGUCCUCGAGAAUAUCACCCCGCACCCGCCUGUCUGCACCGGACGUGACGUAACGUAACCCUGUAUCAGCAAAAUUAUAACGGGUCUGCGUGCUCACUGGCAGAGCUUCGACAUGGGUUAGACGCACAGGGGGACGUCUCCGGCACCCAAGACAAGCAGCGAUCAAGUGGCACUAAUCCAGGUUCCUGCAGAGGAGUGCCGAGUUCGUUUGGGUUGAUUGUGUUUGUUUUGUUUUCUUUCCAUAAGGCAUCUGCGUAGAGGUCAAGAGAGUCCUAUUGGCGUAUUACCACAAGGCGGCAGCAAAACGUGCAUAACGAGUAGGCUGUGAUAUCCCUGCUGUUGGGCUAACUUUACAUUUACAUUCAAUGGCCGCAUUUUAUUAAGUUUAAUUAAAAUAAUGAGAAGUACUUUAUUCAUCCCAAGUGAAAUAUGAUGGUUUUAUCUGUGGUAUUUAAAACUGUAGUUGCUAAUUUCUUGUUCCACUUUGACGGAUGUUGUAUGGACGUUUGAGUGUGGUUUGUGAACUUUGUUCUGUUCCUUCUGCCACGCGUUUUUGAUUGAGUUUAAACCAACUGCAUAUUAGCUUUACUUCCAACAUUGCCACAAAAUUAGCAAUUUUAGGCAAAUUAAAAUUAAAUGCAUAAAAGCACAGAUUUUUAUGUGCAAAUUCUGGAUUAAAAGAUUAUAUUGUUGUCAUAAAACUGUCAUCAAUAAAAUGUUUUAAUGAAGUUGGGGUUACUCCAGAUACUCACAAAAAAGGACUUUUUUGGCCUGUGGUUUAAUGGAAGCAUACAGAAUAAGAGCAUAUGUACAAAUUUCAAUGUUCUUGACAAAGGUGGAAAUAAACACAAAUAACCCAU